rnacentral:rRNA from 1 species
UACGUAGGGGGCAAGCGUUGUCCGGAUUUACUGGGCGUAAAGAGCGUGUAGGCGGCCACGCAGGUCCGUUGUGAAAACUGGAGGCUCAACCUCCAGCUGUCGACGGAAACCGUGUGGCUAGAGUCCGGAAGAGGAGAGUGGAAUUCCUGGUGUAGCGGUGAAAUGCGCAGAUAUCAGGAGGAACACCGGUGGCGAAGGCGGGUCUCUGGGCCGUAACUGACGCUGAGGAGCGAAAGCAUGGGGAGCGAACAGG